GCCUCCGCCUGCCUCCGCCAAGAGAGGCGCACCGGCCGCUGCCGUGGAGCCAGGAGGUGGUCCUGCCGCCGAGCGGCGGAGGGCGACACUACAACCUCGCCUACGUUUCUGCAGGGCAGCCCCGCCGCUGUUGAUGCCGGGUGAGCGGGAGAAGGGAGGGCGGGGAGGGUCAGGGGCGCUCCCUCCCCACCUCGCCCUUUCCCUCGGAAAAUCGGCCUGCGAACCUCUUCCAGGUCCUUCUCCCGAGAUUGUCCCGCGGGAAGCAUAGCCGUGGCGGGAUGCUGGCCCUUUACUUCUGCGGCCGGUUGUCCAGAGAGGGGGGAGCGUCCGGGUGUCAGGCCCCCGGUCCCGGGCGCCGCCGCUGCAGCCACCUGGGCGCGGAGGCGUCUGUGGGAACCCGGCUUCCGCCCUUAGCCCCGGCACCCACCCGCGAGCGUGGCUUCUCCCCCGCUGAGCUUGGCUCCAGCGAUCAGUAGGGAGGAAGGUGGUCAGCUGGCAGCCUCGGGUCGUCUGGGCCGCUCCCAGCUCCACUUCAGCUCAGCUGCGGGGCGGCCACAAGUUUGGGUUCUCAGAGCUCUUAAAGAAUCACUUCGCUACCGGCCGGCCGACAAAACGCAGCCGACAAGUUGGCUACAGAACACUCAAAAAUUGCAAAGAGAAAUAUUGUGUUCUGGAAAUUCGUCCGAGCAUUUUUUUCCAAUAUCAUCCCUUAUGCUCUUCUGAUCCUCUCUUGAACUGUUGGACUAAAGCAGCUGACGCUUCCACCAGCAACCAGAGUCAUCCUGUCCACUACUGUGGGAACAGAGGGUUUCCAUUUGGAACUGCAUACUGAGCCUAAAGUCUGGUGGCCCUUUGGUGCCAGGAUAGCACAAAUGAUUCUACCAAUGCCAGCGGCAUGCACCAGAAACCAGGAAGGAAUCAUACAGCUGAGCCAACCUGCUGUACUUUAAAACACUUGACCACAAUUCUCCAGUGGAUACUCAACCCUGGCUUCAAACUCCCUUGUCUCUCUGGUGAGUUUGCUUUCCCUCUAAUGGAUGACCGUUUCACACCUUCAAGACUUGCCUCAACAAUCCCUACCCCCACCUCUUCUGAACUAUGUCACCUCACUCCCAGCUCCUGUCCUAGGGAUGAGGGAGCAGAAGGCAAGCUUAUGACAAAGCAGAAACUGGCACCCUACACCCUCUCCCCAUGCCAUAUGUGUAACAUUCCUCAUGCACUCCUGGCUGCCCUAAAGGAAAAACGAUGCUUAACUGAUAGAGAUCCCAGUCCUGCAGGACAGGAGUCUCCCUCCAUCUACAAAUGUCCUAGCGACUUACAAGGAAGGAAGAAGCUUUCUCAUCAAUAGCCUGACUUCCAGAGACCCAUACCUCAGUUUCCGGAAGCCCUACCAUCACCCUCCCCUCCAUAAAAUUGUGGGAGGCUAAGGGGGAGGGAAGUGUAAUAAAACUGAAUUUCUUAUAAGCCCAAAGCCCACUGACAAGGAUGUGUGAUAGGAGGAAUGUAACAUAUCUCCAGGAAACUCCCGACUGUCUUCAUGCUUUCCCUCAUUAGAGGCCAAAACAGCCUUGACUUGACAAUAACCAGGUCUCCCUUAUCCUGAAAUUCUUCUUUAGCAUAUGACAGUCCUUCUGGACACCCCCUUUGUCCUCACCUUCCUCAGCUCCCAGUCAACCAUGCCUCUCUCUGAGCAGCUCUUUCUGC